CAGCGCUACACUUGCUCUUUGCAUCGAGUGGCACUGUGCCUUUGGUAAAUUCGGACCUUUCGAGUAUUCGUCCAGUCGCUACUGCACUGUGCAAGAUGCUGUUGGCUCAUCUCUUGUGGAACUAACUUGCACUGGCGAAGGGCUGCUCUUAGUCCUAGUAGUUGCCCCAUGAUGGCCACAGUCAGGCUGGGCCACCGCCCUCUAUACGGUAAAGUUCGACGUUACCGCCGCUCUGUACACACGUUCUACGGACCCGCCGCUCUGGCGUGAGUUUCUACGUACUAUCCAGAUAACCCGUCUGAGCGCCGGUUACAGUAUGGUAUACCGAAUACAGCAUAGUACGCUAGCAUAGUGCAUUCUGACAGUGUGUGCUCAAGGCAAGAUUCUCAGUAAUCCAUGCGUUCCCACAAUACAGUGGAGGUGAUCCUGGUAUUGCAGUGCCAACACCGAAUCCGCUCUCGCACCGAGCUCUGCACCAUCCCAGGCCCGAUCUGCUCUCGGAAGUUCACACGUCCCAGUACCUGGCUCAACACAAAUGCAAGAAGAAACUCUGUCCUCCUGCUGCAUCCCCGUUAGGUGGCAGUUUCAAGGUUCAAGCAGUCCAGUCAGCAGUCCAGUCAGCCGUCCAGUCAGCAAUCCAGUCAGCAGUCCAGCCAGCAGUCUGGUCAGCAGUCCAGCCAGCAGUCUGGUCAGCAGUCUGGAUUGCUUCCAUCUCAAGCAGCAGUCUGGAUUGCUUCCAUCUCAAGCAAAGGCAGAGAGAGAAAAAGAACAACUGCAAGAACAGAUGGCAGAAGCAGUGUUCAAGGCGUGAUAGG